CGAUAUUCACAUGGAGGCCAAUGGUAAGACCGCCUACAUAACAAGCCAAAUUUUCCAUCAAAUGAACUCAUAAAAACAUGCCUUACUUUCUCCAAAUUUGUGCAUGUGUGUGGAGAUAAAGAUAGGCACCUAUCACAGCUCCAGUAACCCUUCGUGUUGAAGAAGGCCUCUUCUCGAUUUACACAAGAUAGAUGAUAUGCUCUGGGGCAACACCCUGGAAAUCAAUGCAAGGUAUAACUAUUGACAAGCAUUACAAACACAUAUAGCGAAGAACAUAUAAUUUAGAAUACUGGUUUUAUUCCUUUUUCAACUUAGAAUUCUGAAGGUUGAGCACAUUUUUUAGAACUUAUUGGCGAUCACACAGCACAAGGUGCCCCAGCAUCGAAACAAAUUUAGUCUCCUACCUUCUUUCUAACUGACGCUUUUGAUGUGGCCUUACAACUCAAAAGAAUUUUUGAAUUCCUCGCCCUAAUCCAACUCCUAUCUUUGUAGCUUUAUCAGGAUGGUAUGUAAACAUUGUACCCACCAUGUAUGGUUGAUCAUCUCCAGAUAUAGGAUUACCAUCAUUGUACCUUCAAAAAAAUAUUUCUUGGUUACAUUUCAGAUUUGUAUUUACCGGUUUGUUUUAAUAAGAAAUUAAAAUUCUAAAAGCUUAGUAAACAACAGAAAAAUAUAAAGAUAAAUAAUAGUUCAGAUGGACACAAAAUAAUAGUAUUACUUUAAAGU
rnacentral:lncRNA from 1 species